CGGGGGGGGCAAGCGUUGUUCGGAAUUACUGGGCGUAAGGGCGCGUAGGCGGCCUGCUAAGUCGGACGUGAAAUCCCCCGGCUCAACCGGGGAACUGCGUCCGAUACUGGUGGGCUCGAAUCCGGGAGAGGGAUGUGGAAUUCCAGGUGUAGCGGUGAAAUGCGUAGAUAUCUGGAGGAACACCGGUGGCGAAGGCGGCAUCCUGGACCGGCAUUGACGCUGAGGCGCGAAAGCCAGGGGAGCAAACGGGAUUAGAUACCCCGGUAGUCCUGGCCCUAAACGAUGAGUGCUUGGUGUGGCGGGUAUCGAUCCCUGCCGUGCCGAAGCUAACGCAUUAAGCACUCCGCCUGGGGAGUACGGUCGCAAGGCUG
rnacentral:rRNA from 1 species